rnacentral:rRNA from 1 species
GACGAAGGUGGCAAGCGUUGUUCGGAUUCACUGGGCAUAAAGGGCGCGUAGGCGGUUCCGAAAGUGGCUCGUGAAAUCCCCCGGCUCAACCGGGGAAGUGCGGGCCAGACUUCGGUGCUUGAGGCUGGGAGGGGAGACUGGAACUCUCGGUGGAGCGGUGAAAUGCGUAGAUAUCGAGAGGAACACCGGUGGCGAAGGCGAGUCUCUGGUCCAGCUCUGACGCUGAGGCGCGAAAGCGUGGGUAGCAAACAGG